CUUUUCUUGUUUUAAUAUGAAAUAUAACCUGCCCAAUGAUUUAUAAUUUAAUGGCUGCGAUAUCAUGAUCGUACAAAGGUAGCAUAAUAAUUAGUGUUUUAAUUGGGGACUGGAAUGAAUGGUUAAACGAAAUAAAGUCUGUCUUGAAUUUAUAAAUUUGAAUUUAAUUAUUAAGUUAAAAAGCUUAAAUUUUUUUAUGGGACGAUAAGACCCUAUAGAAUUUUAUAAUUUAUUUUCAUUUUAGUUUGAAAUUGAUUUAUUGAAUAGAAUUUAUUUUAUUGGGGUGAUAUUAAGAUAAAAAUAACUCUUAUUAAAUUGUAUAUAUAUAUGUAUAUAUUAUUGAUCCAGUUAUAUUGAUUAUAAGAUAAAAUUACC
rnacentral:rRNA from 1 species